CUGAAUAUGUGCGACCACAUGGUGAUCGCAACGUCAAAACAACACAUUUGACAACAAAAAAGUCGCUGCACAUAGAAAUCAUCAUACCAAAAAAUCAUAAAAUGUAUGUCCUCUCUAACAUUUUAAUCAGACCAAAUACAAAGUAGAAAAAAAAUAAAAUCAAGAUUUGAAAAAAAUGCAUAAAUGAUGGAGAAGAAGAAAUGAAUCAACCAAAUACUAAUCCGUACACAGCUAGCGCAUGCUUCAACUAACAACUUUUUAAUUAGAAGGCACACGAGUGCUCUUCCUCGUGGACAACCAAGCCCUAAAAAUAGAAUAGGGUAAGCAUUUCAACAACCCUACACCAAACAUCCUUCCACUUUAAUUUGAUUUGGUAUAGUGAAUAUUAUACUGUUUGUUAAUGUUGAAAAGUAGGAACACAAGUAGGGUCAGAUUCUACAGGUGUUUGGUUUCAUCUUAAAAUAACAUAACCGCCAUCAAGUCUUGUAUGCACCCUACCCUGGUCGAAGGAAAUUAUUAUUAUGGCCUCAAAUGUCAUCUUCAACAACUUCAAGUGGAGUGUAAGACACUAGCUUUUGUUUCUCAUGUUCACCGGACCUAAUUUAUUUCUCUCCAUCAUUUGGUUGCCUUGUUUUUAGGAAUGUUUUUACGGUUUUUUGAAGGAAAACAUUUUGUACGAAAUGUUGUUAUGAAAAAGCACAUAGAUUAUAAAGUAUAUAAUGAGUGAGAUUCAUAUCGAUAGUGCACUAGACAAAAGAGAUUUUGAUUCUCAAAUCUCAUCCCUCCCUCUCUUUUUCCUCUUGAUUUUUGUCGUUUUUCUAUCAAACUUUUUAAAUGAGUUUGUCUUUAAACUUUUUAAAUGAGUCUGUCCAUAUUUUUUCGUGAAGCAAAUCAAGAUUUUAAGUAAAACUAUCUUUAAGGUAGCGCUUUACCUCACAUGACCUUAAACUUUUUCAUGAUUAAGUUAUGAUAAAAGAAUUUUCAUAUAUAUUUUACGGUUAAUUUGCGAUUAAAUAGAGCUUUUAAAUUUUUCACAAUUCAAUUGAAGUUUACUUCAACUUUUUAUUUGGAGCCUCUUAAAAG
rnacentral:lncRNA from 1 species